rnacentral:lncRNA from 1 species
UUAGGGUUUUUUUGUUUCCAUUGUUCCUCUUCAUCACAUAAUCCCUCAUUCGCAUUCUGUUUGGAGAAAACCUAGCCGCAGACCAUGGAUUCUCAUCUUCAUCUUUAAGGUAUUCGAUUUAGGGUUCCGAUUGGGAUUAUGACGGUGACUCAGUUUAUACUUAAUAUUAUGACGGUGAUCUCUCGAUCUAAAUCGACUGAUAUGUAAACUGAAAGAAAGGGGAACUCGCCAAAUUUGAAGCCAUCGACUGUGGAAAACCACUCGAUGAAGCAACAUAGUUUUGGAGCGUUUUGGGCUUUUGUCAAACGUGUCAAGGCCGGUUAAGCCAGUCAGCACGUUAAUUGAGGAGUUGCUUGUGCUGAAAAUAUACAAAAUGGAGAUUGCUGAAGGUGUUUAAAUUCGCUGAGUUUAAUUGCACGAUCGAGUAUUACCGGGCCCCAUACCUGGUCCUGCAGAGUCGACCGCCAGCUGGCUCACCAAAACAAGGAAGAUUUGAAAUUAUUUCGUUAUCUGGAUCUUUCACACCAUGCUACAGAACGGACAAUCGAAGGGAAACCAAAUUCAAGUACUACAGAAUAUGUCAAUGGAGAAGCAAUCAGUGAACCAACGGAAAACGUAAUCUCUGAACAACAACGGUCGGCAAAGAUUCGUGAUUUUUGUUUCGGUCUUCCAUAUGGUAAGUUUCUCUUUCUGUUGGUUCAUUUUAUAAUUUUAUAAUAUCGCGUGAUGCUGUAAUCAAUAUGAUUUUUGUUUCGGUCUUCCAUAUGGUAAGACUUGAUGGUUCUUUUAAGAUCAAGCCGCUACAAUUGUUUCUUCAAAGAUCCAGCCACUAUAAUCAAUCUUGUAUGUAUUUUCCUUUUGUUGAUUCAUAUUCUGAUUGUUAAUUUGAUAUAUCUUAGAUCGUUCUUUCCGAUUUCAAACCACAAAUCGCUUCUUCACCUCUAUACUCGCCAGUGUUGAUUCUUCGUUUUGGAUUCUCAUGUCGUCGGUUUGAUAUCAAAUUACUGAUCUUUUCUAUCUUUUUAGGUAUGACUUUCGUCAAUUAUGUUUAGGCAGUGUUGCCGACCUUGGGCUCAGGUUGCUUCGGUGGUGGGUUACAAAAUUCAUCCCGUUUUGGAUAUAAGAGAUUAACGACAUUGUGUAAGCAAGAUAUCUGAAUCGUUAAUAUAAUCAGGUGGACAAUUCUCUUGAUUUCCCUUUUAAUACCGGAUUAUAACAUCUUUUAUUGUAGCUUUAAAGAAGUAUAUUUUGAUGAAUUAAUCAAGAUUACCAAGAGCAUUUUGAAUCUUUUCUGAGUUUGUAUAUCUGUGAUUAUAUAAAGAAUGUUUGGAGUCAUUUUAAUAAUGCAA